rnacentral:rRNA from 1 species
UACGUAGGGUGCGAGCGUUGUCCGGAAUUAUUGGGCGUAAAGAGCUUGUAGGCGGUUUGUCGCGUCUGCUGUGAAAAUCCGGGGCUCAACCCCGGACUUGCAGUGGGUACGGGCAGACUAGAGUGUGGUAGGGAGACUGGAAGUUCCUGGUGUAGCGGUGGAAUGCGCAGAUAAUCAGGAGGAACACCGAGUGGCGAAGGCAGGUCUCUGGCCACUACUGACGCUGAGAAGCGAAGACAUGGGGAGCGAACAGG